rnacentral:rRNA from 1 species
UACGGAGGAGGCAAGCGUUAUCCGGAAUUAUUGGGCGUAAAGCGUCCGCAGGUGGCUAAAGAGCAAGUCUGUCGUCAAAGACCGGGGCUUAACCCUGGGAAGGCGGUGGAAACUGCACAGCUAGAGAGAGGUAGGGGUAGAGGGAAUUCCCGGUGUAGCGGUGAAAUGCGUAGAGAUCGGGAAGAACAUCGGUGGCGAAAGCGCUCUACUGGACCUAAUCUGACACUCAGGGACGAAAGCUAGGGGAGCGAAUGGG